rnacentral:pre_miRNA from 1 species
CUACUACUCCCUCCGUCCGAAAAUACUUGUCAUUGAAAUGGAUGUAUCUAGAUGUAUUUUAGUUCUAGACACAUCCAUUUUGAUGACAAGUAAUUCCGGAUGGAGGGAGUAUUAC